rnacentral:rRNA from 1 species
UAUUGGGCGUAAAGAGCUCGUAGGCGGUUUGUCGCGUCUGCUGUGAAAACUGGAGGCUCAACCUCCAGCCUGCAGUGGGUACGGGCAGACUAGAGUGCGGUAGGGGAGAUUGGAAUUCCUGGUGUAGCGGUGGAAUGCGCAGAUAUCAGGAGGAACACCGAUGGCGAAGGCAGAUCUCUGGGCCGUAACUGACGCUGAGGAGCGAAAGCAUGGGGAGCGAACAGGAUUAGAUACCCUGGUAGUCCAUGCCGUAAACGUUGGGAACUAGAUGUAGGGACCAUUCCACGGUUUCUGUGUCGCAGCUAACGCAUUAAGUUCCCCGCCUGGGGAGUACGGCCGCAAGGCUAAAACUCAAAGGAAUUGACGGGGGCCCGCACAAGCGGCGGAGCAUGCGGAUUAAUUCGAUGCAACGCGAAGAACCUUACCAAGACUUGACAUAUACGAGAACGGGCUAGAAAUAGUUCACUCUUUGGACACUCGUAAACAGGUGGUGCAUGGUUGUCGUCAGCUCGUGUCGUGAGAUGUUGGGUUAAGUCCCGCAACGAGCGCAACCCUCGUUCUUUGUUGCCAGCACGUUAUGGUGGGAACUCAAAGGAGACUGCCGGGGUCAACUCGGAGGAAGGUGGGGAUGACGUCAAAUCAUCAUGCCCCUUAUGUCUUGGGCUUCACGCAUGCUACAAUGGCCGAUACAAAGGGCUGCGAUACCGCAAGGUGGAGCGAAUCCCAAAAAAGUCGGUCUCAGUUCGGAUUGAGGUCUGCAACUCGACCUCAUGAAGUCGGAGUCGCUAGUAAUCGCAGAUCAGCAACGCUGCGGUGAAUACGUUCCCGGGCCUUGUACACACCGCCCGUCAAGUCAUGAAAGUCGGUAACACCCGAAGCCAGUGGCCUAACCCGCAAGGGGAGGAGCUGUCGAAGGUGGGAU